UACGGGGGGGGCAAGCGUUAAUCGGAAUUACUGGGCGUAAAGCGUGCGUAGACGGUUAUUUAAGUCGGGUGUGAAAGCCCCGGGCUCAACCUGGGAAUUGCAUUCGAGACUGAAUAGCUAGGGUACGGUAGAGGGAAGUGGAAUUUCCGGUGUAGCGGUGAAAUGCGUAGAUAUCGGAAGGAACAUCAGUGGCGAAGGCAGCUCGCUGGGACGUGACUGACGCUGAGACGCGAAAGCGUGGGGAGCAAACAGG
rnacentral:rRNA from 1 species